GCCAGGUGCAGUGGUGCUCUUCUGUAAUCCUAGCAGCUCAGGAGGCUGAGGCAGGACAAUUGCAAGUUUAGGGCCAGACUCAGCAAUUUAGUGAGGCCCUAAGCAAUUUAGCAAGACCCUGUCUAAA
rnacentral:sRNA from 1 species